rnacentral:rRNA from 1 species
UGGGAACGCGAAGAACCUUACCGGGGCUUGACAUCUUUCUGCCCGCCUGGGAAACCAGGCCUUCUUCCUUCGGGAAGACGGAAAGACAGGUGGUGCAUGGUUGUCGUCAGCUCGUGUCGUGAGAUGUUGGGUUAAGUCCCGCAACGAGCGCAACCCCUACUGUUAGUUGCCAGCAUUCAGUUGGGCACUCUAAUGAGACUGCCGGUGACAAACCGGAGGAAGGUGGGGAUGACGUCAAAUCAUCAUGCCCCUUAUGACCUGGGCUACACACGUGCUACAAUGGAUGGUACAACGAGCAGCAAGACCGCGAGGUCAAGCGAAUCUCUUAAAGCCAUUCUCAGUUUGGAUUGCAGGCUGCAACUCGCCUGCAUGAAGCCGGAAUCGCUAGUAAUCGCGGAUCAGCACGCCGCGGUGAAUACGUUCCCGGGUCUUGUACACACCG